AGCUUUUGUGGUCGUGGUUCCGGAGGAUGGACUUGAGUUCCUGGUUCUCGCGCAGGAGGUGGAUCAGCUGCUUGAGCUCCUCGUUCUCGGCCACUAGCAAGUCAAUCUGCUUCUUGAGCUCAUUAUAGCGAGCGACAAUGGCCAUCCCCAGAAGGCUGCCGCGGAGAGGGGAGGCUGGGGGAGCCCCAGAGGAGUGGCAUUCAGAGGGCCAUACAGAAGCUUCAGCCCCGCAGACUCCCCUCUCCUCUCCACUGGCGGGCGGGCGGGCAGGCAGGCAGGCAGGCAGAGGGGCUGACCUGGCGCUGGUGACACGGGGCUCCCAUUAUGAUGCAGGCAGACCUGAGUGAAGGCUGGAACUUCCAGACAAAGGACAAUGCCCGGGAGACCGGAGAGGGCCGGUGGGGGUGGGCGGGUAGGGCCAAGGCCACCCCCUCCUCGUCACACACACACACACACACACACACACCCCACCCCCAGUAACACCCAGGAGCCCCCUGGAAGGUGCUCAAAGCCUCAGGGCCACCGAAGCUGGAGGAGGCAGGAAGGGCUGACCUCGGUAUGGAUGUUAAAAGCUUCUGACUUCGCCGAUUCUGGGGCUGUUUCAAGUACUGGGAGAAUCAUGUUCCACAGUUGCCUAUGGUGCAAUUGAGGAUUUAUUUCAGGCUCUUGAUUGGUUUGACUGUGCUAUUGAGGAGUUUGGUGCCGGAUGUUUGGAGAGUGACAAGAUGAAUUGGAGCCGGAUAGUUCGACAGGAAUUGCCUGCCCUGACAAUGAAGGGCUCGAACGGGCCGAGACCUGACUGGAAUGAACAUCAGCCCGAGAGAGGCCGAUACUCGGCAACAAGCUACCAGCGGAGGCUGGACCUUGGGCUGGAGAAGAGUCUAGAGACGAAGUUGAGGCCUUCGACAUCGACAUGGAUUUUGAUUUCGAAGUGGACUUUGACUUCUCCUUAGGAUGAGGAGAAGGAGUCACAGGGCUGGAAGCAGGCAUGGGUGGAUCUUGCCAAUCUGGUUGAGGGUCUGGCAGUCAUGCAGACUCUGUAGCAACCGGAGGUGGAUUAAGAGAUUUUCUCCAGAGCUCUAGAAACUUCCGAGAGGUUCAGCGCAGGCGC